rnacentral:rRNA from 1 species
UAAGACAGAGGGUGCGAGCGUUAAUCGAAAUAACUGGGCGUAAAGGGUGCGUAGGCGGGAUAGUCAGUCGUAUGUGAAAAACCGGGGCUCAACUUCGGGACGGCAUACGAUACUGCUAUUCUAGAGUUUGGUAGAGGUAAGUGGAAUUUCCGGUGUAGCGGUGAAAUGCAUAGAUAUCGGAAGGAACACCAGUGGCGAAGGCGGCUUACUGGACCAAUACUGACGCUGAGGCACGAAAGCGUGGGGAGCAAACAGGAUUAGAUACCCUGGUAGUCCACGCUGUAAACGAUGAGAACUAGGUGUUUGGUAGCAAAAGCUAUUGAGUGCCGCAGCUAACGCGAUAAGUUCUCCGCCUGGGGAGUACGGCCGCAAGGUUGAAACUCAAAUGAAUUGACGG